rnacentral:rRNA from 1 species
GACGAACGCUGGCGGCGUGCUUAACACAUGCAAGUCGAACGGAAAGGCCCUGCUUUUGUGGGGUGCUCGAGUGGCGAACGGGUGAGUAACACGUGGGUAACCUGCCCUUGACUUUGGGAUAACUUCAGGAAACUGGGGCUAAUACCGGAUAGGAGCUCCUGCUGCAUGGUGUGGGUUGGAAAGUUUCGGCGGUUGGGGAUGGACUCGCGGCUUAUCAGCUUGUUGGUGGGGUAGUGGCUUACCAAGGCUUUGACGGGUAGCCGGCCUGAGAGGGUGACCGGCCACAUUGGGACUGAGAUACGGCCCAGACUCCUACGGGAGGCAGCAGUGGGGAAUAUUGCACAAUGGGCGGAAGCCUGAUGCAGCAACGCCGCGUGCGGGAUGACGGCCUUCGGGUUGUAAACCGCUUUCGCCUGUGACGAAGCGUGAGUGACGGUAAUGGGUAAAGAAGCACCGGCUAACUACGUG